rnacentral:lncRNA from 1 species
GCACCUGUCUUCCCUCUAUGACACUUUGCUGGAGCAGAACCUUUGUAGGUUGAUUGAGCCCUUUUCGAGAGUUGAGAUUGCUCAUAUGGCUGAGUUGAUUGAGUUGCCUGGUGACCAUGUUGAGAAGAAGUUAUCUCAAAUGAUUUUGGAUAAGAAAUUCGCUGGGACCCUGGACCAGGGUGCCGGAUGCCUUAUAAUUUUUGAGGAUCCUAAACCAGAUGCAAUUUAUCCAGCUACGUUGGAGACUGUUUCAAAUAUGGGGAAGGUUGUUGACAGUCUGUUUGUAAGAUCUUCGAGAAUAAUAGCUUGAGUGUUAGAUCCGUUGGAAACCGUAUCAAAUAUGGGGUAAGUUGUUGACAGUCUGUAAGAUCUUCGAGAAUAAAUAAUAGCUUGAGUGUUAGAUCCGUUGGAGACCGUUUCAAAUAUGGGGUAAGUUGUUGACAGUCUGUAAGAUCUUCGAGAAUAAUAGCUCGAGUGUUAGAUACUCUUUUGACGUGUAUCUUUUCCCUUUAUUUGCUCUACCUUUUGUGUGCUGCACGCAGCCUCUGUUUUCGGCAUUUGACAUUCUUUAUAUUAUAAGGUUCCUUUCCUGAUACAUUCUGAACUUAGUGUAAACCAUAUAUAGUUGACAUCCAGGGGUGACUGAUGAGCAAGGUCUCAACUAUAUUGCUAAAAUGUUUUAUGUGGGGAUGACUCGUACACUUAUUAUAAGCUUCUGAACCACUUACAAGGCUCAUUUCUUCUUAUAAGUAAUGGUUUCUUCAGUUUAAAUCUGCUUAGCAUCUCUGCAUAAGAUAGUAUAUUAGUUUGCUUGGUUGUAUUAGGUCGGUGAACAAAGUGUUACAUUGACUUUUGAAAAGAUUGAAAAGCUAUAUGUAAG